rnacentral:lncRNA from 1 species
UGCGAAGUCAGAGUGUGAUCGAGAUGGGAUUGACCACCCCAAGAGUUGGAGAAGAAUGAGUCGCUGUAUUUCAAUUUAGUAAAACCUUGGCCAGGGUAAUCCAUCAGAUGGAUUUGAUAUUUUGAAAUACAAUGCGGACAACCCGAUCAGAGUUGAUAGUUGAACUCUGGGGUGUCCUAUGAUCAUUUUGAUCAAGGGGAUGAAUUAUAUGAAAACUAUAUCCGCAUGGGUUCUAAGGAUGUUGUUCUACACAUUCGACCUAUCCGGUCGUCGGGUACCAUUGCUAGAUGGUCACUUCGAUUGGUAUAAAAAUUUAUUCCUAUGCUACCGGCUUAGGUUCGGACCUAUGAGGUCACACACAUUAGAGUUCAUGAGCCGAUCGGAUGGUUGAUCAAUGAUUAAAAAUCGUUCUAGGGUUAAAUGAUCAAUACGAUUGACAUUUAACCCAAUGCAAGUAUUGCAGGAGGAUCGAUUAGCAAUUCGAUUGCUAAUUGGCUUAAUUUGA